rnacentral:rRNA from 1 species
GAUGAACGCUGGCGGCGUGCCUAAUACAUGCAAGUCGAGCGAACGGACGAGAAGCUUGCUUCUCUGAUGUUAGCGGCGGACGGGUGAGUAACACGUGGAUAACCUACCUAUAAGACUGGGAUAACUUCGGGAAACCGUAGCUAAUACCGGAUAAUAUUUUGAACCGCAUGGUUCAAAAGUGAAAGACGGUCUUGCUGUCACUUAUAGAUGGAUCCGCGCUGCAUUAGCUAGUUGGUAAGGUAACGGCUUACCAAGGCAACGAUGCAUAGCCGACCUGAGAGGGUGAUUGGCCACACUGGAACUGAGACACGGUCCCGACUCCUACGGGAGGCAGCAGUAGGGAAACUUCCGCAAUGGGCGAAAGCCUGACGGAGCAACGCCGCGUGAGUGAUGAAGGUCUUCGGAUCGUAAAACUCUGUUAUUAGGGAAGAACAUAUGUGUAAGUAACUGUGCACAUCUUGACGGUACCUAAUCAGAAAGCCACGGCUAACUACGUG